CCAUAAGUCAGAGUCAACUUGAAGGCAGGCAAAAACAAUGAAUGUGAAAGAUGUGAGAAGGAAAACUCUAAAAGCAUAUUCCACGGACAGGGCCAGGUACAAGGCUACUAAGAGGAACAAAUAACUGCUGCUCUGGAGAAAGUUACAAGCUGCAAGUCAUGAUAGAAUGCAAGGUAACAUAUGCAGGGCUCCCAGACAGCAUUCCGUCCAAAUCUUAGCUUGAGAUAUGCAUCAGCAAAGUUGCAACAUCCUGUGCCUUCAGACCACAAUGUGGGACCACAAACAGCUAACCAAGGCUAAUUUAUCUCAUAAAACAGGAGACAGAAGAGAUCUUUGGCAACGUACCUACUACAGGAAAAAGGAGUUGCAAUUGCCUGCAUGGGGAGCCAGACAUCAUUUCCAAGAGCAAUAUUGGACAGUCUUUUCCUAACUAGUGGACCAGUUCAAGAAUAGCCAAGACACUUCAGGCUCUUAAGCAUCUCUGAAUAAGAUGUGAAAACAAUAAGGCUGAGACAUCUGUCACUAACUGACUCUAGUGUCUUCUGUUCCUUUGUGGAUAACUCUGGAAGAAAGAGAUGGUAGAAUUGCCUUCAAUAUGAAAGAAAAAUCAUAACAGGUGGCGAUUACAAACGUUUCCAGUGGGCAAGAUCAUAGUGAAGAUAUUUAUUCAGUACUAUAUCUUGCAGAAAGCAUUAUGCCAUCGUGGGACAACUUUGCUGUAACUUGCAUCUAUAUCCUACUCAUUGCAUUACUGCUCUUAUUUGCUGUCUUUGUCUGCAUGUUUAUUCUUAUCUAUGCAUCCAACCUUCUCUUCAGUGACAAGAAUGAUGGCUGAAAGACUGCUACAUACAAGCUUUAACAUUUAAAUGACUUCAUAUCCUUAAGUUUAUUUUCUACCCCUAACAUUUAAAUGUUCCUCAGAAUUAGCUUGGAGGUCUCUUGGUUUAGUCUAACCAUGAAGCAAAGAAAAAGGGGAGGGGAAUCACUGGAUUUCUUUAAACUGGAUAGGAAAUGUCAUUUGUGAAUGUAUACCUGAAUAAAAUCUCUCAUCCCUUUGCAAUACAAGUUCUAUAUUUUCAAGUAUUUUUUUGGAUUUGCGCUUAGCAUGUAAAACCCAUGGGAUCUCUAAUCUACUUGCCUAUUGUCUAAAGAGGCAGAUUAAGAAUUUUACCAUUUCACCCUGCUGUAUUGUACA